GGCCACACCCUGGACGGCUGUGAUUCCACCCAGACGCUCUCUCCCUGUGAGGCUUAGCCACAUGAGGACGUCCCUGCCAUCAAGCCAACUCUGGGGGCUUUUCGAGCCAAAGGUCAACUGUGUGAUGACCGUCUGAAAUUCUACUGGCGGGGCUCCGUUCAUGCCACCGGAAUACAGAGGAGGGGUGAAAAGUCACUUCUUUCCAUCACCCACCAACCAAAAUAAAGUGAGCUUCCAAUACAA